AACCCUCACUGUGUGUUACAUGUGUCACACGGGACUGCCGGUUUAAGCCGGAGGAAGGCGGGGAUGACGUCAAGUCAGCAUGGCCUUUAUAUCCUGGGCUACACACACGCUACAAUGGUCUGUACAAUAGGUUGCCAAGCCGCGAGGCGGAGCCAAUCCUAAAAGCAGGCCUCAGUUCAGAUUGUAGUCUGCAACCCGACUGCAUGAAGAUGGAGUUGCUAGUAACCGCAGGUCAGCUAUACUGCGGUGAAUACGUUCCCGGGUCUU
rnacentral:rRNA from 1 species